rnacentral:ncRNA from 2 species
AUACGUCUUCGGGGCAGGGUGAAAUUCCCGACCGGCGGUAUAGUCCGCGACCUUGGGCUGUCAGGCAUCGUCUUGGCCCAGGUUGAACUGGUGUGAUUCCAGUACCGACAGUAAAGUCUGGAUGGUAGAAGCGGAUA